AGGACGAACGCUGGCGGCGUGCUUAACACAUGCAAGUCGAGCGGAAAGGCCCUUCGGGGUACUCGAGCGGCGAACGGGUGAGUAACACGUGAGCAACCUGCCCUUAGCUCCGGGAUAGCUCCGGGAAACCGGAAUUAAUACCGGAUACGACCACGGCCGACAUCUGCUGUGGUGGAAAGGAUUCCGGCUAAGGAUGGGCUCGCGGCCUAUCAGCUAGUUGGUGGAGUAACGGCCCACCAAGGCGACGACGGGUAGCCGGCCUGAGAGGGCGACCGGCCACACUGGGACUGAGACACGGCCCAGACUCCUACGGGAGGCAGCAGUGGGGAAUAUUGCGCAAUGGGCGAAAGCCUGACGCAGCGACGCCGCGUGGGGGAUGGAAGGCCUUCGGGUUGUAAACCCCUUUCAGCAGGGACGAAGCGAAAGUGACGGUACCUGCAGAAGAAGCGCCGGCUAACUACGCGCCAGCAGCCGC
rnacentral:rRNA from 1 species